AUUGAACGCUGGCGGCAUGCCUUACACAUGCAAGUCGAACGGCAGCACGGGAGCAAUCCUGGUGGCGAGUGGCGAACGGGUGAGUAAUAUAUCGGAACGUGCCCAGUCGUGGGGGAUAACGUAGCGAAAGCUACGCUAAUACCGCAUACGAUCUAUGGAUGAAAGCGGGGGAUCGCAAGACCUCGCGCGAUUGGAGCGGCCGAUAUCAGAUUAGGUAGUUGGUGAGGUAAAGGCUCGCCAAGCCGACGAUCUGUAGCUGGUCUGAGAGGACGACCAGCCACACUGGGACUGAGACACGGCCCAGACUCCUACGGGAGGCAGCAGUGGGGAAUUUUUGGACAAUGGGCGCAAGCCUGAUCCAGCAAUGCCGCGUGCAGGAUGAAGGCCU
rnacentral:rRNA from 1 species